rnacentral:rRNA from 1 species
UGUAGCAAUACAUGCUGACGAGCGGCGAACGGGUGAGUAAUGCUUCGGAAUCUGCCCAAUGGUGGGGAAUAACCAGCCGAAAGGUUGGCUAAUACCGCAUACGUCCUACGGGAGAAAGCAGGGGAUCGCAAGACCUUGCGCCAAUGGAUGAGCCGAAGUCGGAUUAGCUAGUUGGUAGGGUAACGGCCUACCAAGGCGACGAUCCGUAGCUGGUCUGAGAGGACGACCAGCCACACUGGGACUGAGACACGGCCCAGACUCCUACGGGAGGCAGCAGUGGGGAAUAUUGGACAAUGGGGGAAACCCUGAUCCAGCGACGCCGCGUGUGUGAAGAAGGCCUGCGGGUUGUAAAGCACUUUUAGUGGGGAUGAAAAGUUCAGAGCUAAUAUCUCUGGAUCUUGACCUAACCCACAGAAAAAGCACCGGCUAACUCUGUGCCAGCAGCCGCGGUAAUACAGAGGGUGC